rnacentral:rRNA from 1 species
UACGUAGGGGGCAAGCGUUGUCCGGAUUCAUUGGGCGUAAAGCGCGUGUAGGCGGCCAGGUAGGUCCGGUGUGAAAACUCGAGGCUCAACCUCGAGACGCCGGUGGAAACCGUAAGGCUAGAGUCCGGAAGAGGAGAGUGGAAUUCCUGGUGUAGCGGUGAAAUGCGCAGAUAUCAGGAAGAACACCCGUGGCGAAGGCGGCUCUCUGGGACGGUACUGACGCUGAGACGCGAAAGCGUGGGGAGCGAACAGG